AUGUUUCUAUCUCUCCCUUUCCCUUUCUCUCUGAAAUCAAUUAAAAAUAUAUAUAGCAACAGUCCCAAAAGAAUGACAAACUAAGGGAGCAUUUACUAAGACUGGGCACUUAAAUCUGCUUCAUUUUAUUUAAUCCACACAGGAACUGUUUUCAGGGCAGGGCUACUCUUUGCCCGAUUUUACUGCAGAGAAAACUCGGGCUCAGAGGGAUAAAGUGACUUGCCCAAGGUCACAGAGCUGACCAUCUCACUGACACUACCUCUGUUUCCUUCUCUGCCUCUCAGUAUGGGCAGCUAUGUGGGGACACUUGGUUCCUUCACAGAAAGUGUGGAGGAAGACACUAUGGUACAUAAUGAUGACAGUUCCUCUUAUCUAUUGCUUCAUAAUAAACCAUCCUGAAACACAA